GGAUUAAUACCGCAUACGAUCUAGGGAUGAAAGCGGGGGACCUUCGGGCCUCGCGCUCAAGGAGCGGCCGAUGGCGGAUUAGCUAGUUGGUGAGGUAAAGGCUCACCAAGGCGACGAUCCGUAGCUGGUCUGAGAGGACGACCAGCCACACUGGGACUGAGACACGGCCCAGACUCCUACGGGAGGCAGCAGUGGGGAAUUUUGGACAAUGGGCGCAAGCCUGAUCCAGCAAUGCCGCGUGUGUGAAGAAGGCCUUCGGGUUGUAAAGCACUUUUGUCCGGAAAGAAAACUUCGUCCCUAACAUGGAUGGAGGAUGACGGUACCGGAAGAAUAAGCACCGGCUAACUACGUGCCAGCAGCCGCGGUAAUACGUAGGGUGCGAGCGUUAAUCGGAAUUACUGGGCGUAAAGCGUGCGCAGGCGGUGAUGUAAGACCGAUGUGAAAUCCCCGGGCUUAACCUGGGAACUGCAUUGGUGACUGCAUUGCUGGAGUAUGGCAGAGGGGGGUGGAAUUCCACGUGUAGCAGUGAAAUGCGUAGAGAUGUGGAGGAACACCGAUGGC
rnacentral:rRNA from 1 species